GCUGGGCAUGGUAGCUCAUGCCUGUAAUCCAAGCACUUUGGAGGCCAAGGCGGGUGGAUCACCUGAGGUCGGGAGUUCAAGACCAGCCUGACCAACAUGGUGAAACCUCGUCUUUA
ensembl:misc_RNA Metazoa_SRP Metazoan signal recognition particle RNA